rnacentral:rRNA from 1 species
AUACCUUUUUUUAAGGGAUAGGGUCGGUUCGGCCGGAUUUCACACAGGUGUUGCAUGGCUGUCGUCAGCUCGUGUCGUGAGAUGUUGGGUUAAGUCCCGCAACGAGCGCAACCCUCAUCCUUAGUUACCAUCAGAUUAUGCUGGGGACUUUAAGGAAACUGCCAGUGAUAAACUGGAGGAAGGUGGGGAUGAUGUCAAGUCAUCAUGGCCCUUAUGGAGUGGGCUACACACGUGCUACAAUGGUGAUUACAAUGGGCUGCAAGGUCGCAAGGCUGAGCUAAUCCUAAAAAAUCAUCUCAGUUCGGAUUGCUCUCUGCAACUCGAGAGCAUGAAGUUGGAAUCGCUAGUAAUCGUGGAUCAGCAUGCCACGGUGAAUACGUUCUCGGGUCUUGUACACACUGCCCGUCACGCCAUGGGAAUUGGU